UACGGAGGGUGCAAGCGUUAUCCGGAUUCACUGGGUUUAAAGGGUGCGUAGGUGGGAAUGUAAGUCAGUGGUGAAAUCUCCGUGCUUAACAUGGAACUGCCAUUGAUACUAUGUUUCUUGAAUUUUCUGGAGGUCAGCGGAAUAUGUCAUGUAGCGGUGAAAUGCUUAGAUAUGACAUAGAACACCAAUUGCGAAGGCAGCUGACUACAGGGAUAUUGACACUGAGGCACGAAAGCGUGGGGAUCGAACCGG
rnacentral:rRNA from 1 species